GACGAACGCUGGCGGCGUGCUUAACACAUGCAAGUCGAACGGAAAGGCCCAGCUUUUGUGGGGUGCUCGAGUGGCGAACGGGUGAGUAACACGUGAGUAACCUGCCCUUGACUUUGGGAUGACUUCAGGAAACUGGGGCUAAUACCGGAUAGGAGCUCCUGCUGCAUGGUGGGGGUUGGAAAGUUUCGGCGGUUGGGGAUGGACUCGCGGCUUAUCAGCUUGUUGGUGGGGUAGUGGCUUACCAAGGCUUUGACGGGUAGCCGGCCUGAGAGGGUGACCGGCCACAUUGGGACUGAGAUACGGCCCAGACUCCUACGGGAGGCAGCAGUGGGGAAUAUUGCACAAUGGGCGGAAGCCUGAUGCAGCAACGCCGCGUGCGGGAUGACGGCCUUCGGGUUGUAAACCGCUUUCGCCUGUGACGAAGCGUGAGUGACGGUAAUGGGUAAAGAAGCACCGGCUAACUACGUG
rnacentral:rRNA from 1 species